rnacentral:tRNA from 1 species
AUCUAAGUAGUUUAAUCGAGAAUAAUAAUUUGUGGAAUUAUAGGUAUUGUUUAUAAUCUUGGAUU